rnacentral:rRNA from 1 species
CCUACGGGAGGCAGCAGUGGGGAAUCUUGUGCAAUGGACGAAAGUCUGACACAGCCACGCCGCGUGCGGGAAGAAGGCCUUCGGGUUGUAAACCGCUUUCAGCAGGAACGAAAAUGACGGUACCUGCAGAAGAAGAUGCGGCCAACUACGUGCCAGCAGCCGCGGUGAUACGUAGGCAUCAAGCGUUGUCCGGAUUUAUUGGGCGUAAAGAGCUCGUAGGCGGUUCAGCAAGUCGGGUGUGAAAACUCUGGGCUUAACCCAGAGCCUGCACUCGAAACUGCUGUGACUAGAGUUCGGUAGGGGAGCAGGGAAUUCCUAGUGUAGCGGUGAAAUGCGCAGAUAUUAGGAGGAACACCAAUGGCGAAGGCACUGCUCUGGGCCGAUACUGACGCUGAGGAGCGAGAGCGUGGGUAGCAAACAGGAUUAGAUACCCUGGUAGUCCACGCCGUAAACGAUGGGCACUAGGUGUGGGUCUCUAACCAACGAGAUCUGCGCCGUCGCUAACGCAUAGUGCCCGCCGUCGGGAGGUACGGUCGCGACGACGUAAACCUACAANAGAAGUUAGACGGCGUGAGACGUGACCGACGGACGACGACGAGGGAGGUUAGG